CUUUAGUUAUUUGUCCCUCAUAUCUCAAAGCAUACCAUCUAUCGUCACACGGAUCCCAAAGCUCACCCCAUCUCCUCCGAUUCACACAUCAUCCCUCACGCCCGUUGUUCUCCCACGAACUGAUUCCAUCCCAGCUUAUCCCAACUAGAUUCCCAACUCUCAUCCUCUUCCGGAUAAACUUCUUCUCCCACGGAUAAGCUCGAAACCCCUCCCGUGA
rnacentral:lncRNA from 1 species